CGCCCCCCGGCGGGCGGAGCCCGGCGCCGCGGCCAGGAUUUCCCACCUCGCUCCCGCGACUCCGCUGCGGGUCUGCACACCCGAGGACUCGGUUUGAAACGCCCGCUUAUUUAUUUUCUUGUCGCCUCGCUACAAGAUUCUAUCCUUGUUUGGGCAUGAGUGGGGGGCGGCAGUCUCGUGGGACCGGCGGCAUUCGUCGUUCCUCCUUACGGGGAUAAUUCGAGAAGUGCGGUCCGGGGGUACUUAACCGAAACUAGCAAUCCCAGGCGGUACAAGGCCCUCCAUCGUAGGCAAAGCACUACCUGAAUGUAGAUUUGGGCCAUACGUUGGAAAAUAAGACAUGAGAGUAUGCUCCGAUCAACUUUUACUGUUCACUGGACAACUAUUUUGGGAAUUUGCAGACCUAUAAAGCCCAUCUAUAAAUCUCAAGCAUGUCCACUUUCAGAGAAGAGAAAUGCUGACAACCAUUUAGUCUCUGAGGACAACACUUUUAAAGUGUAACAAUGUGGCAUCCAGAGCUUAUCCAGAUGAGCGGAGAGCAAAUGAAUUUCCUUCUGCUCCCCUGUUGAAGAGGAGAGAAAAAUUCUUCAAGCUUUAUACAGGACUCCAUCAUAGGACUGGAGAGAGAUUGGAUGUCAGAGUGAUUGAUGUGCUCCUACUGGAAGAAGGCAAACAUCCAUAUGUGAACUGCCUGUGGGGUUUCCAAGGAAAGGAACGGCAGGCAGCCUCUAUGAGCUUAAAGAAGAUAACUGGGACUUUAGUCCUAUAACCUCAAGGAACAGUAUUCUGUGAACCAUCUGAGAAGCUUGGAAGAGGACCCCAAACUCCAAAUAAGAAGCUCAGUGUGUCUGACACCUUGACUGCAGGCUUGGGAGGUCCUGAGCAGAAGAUCCAGUUCAACAGUGCCUGGACUCCUGAUCCACAAAAACUGAUAACAAAUAUUUAUUGUUUUAAGAUGCUAAGUUUGUAGUCAUUUUUUAUACAGCAACAGAAAACUAAACACACACAUAAACAGUUAUAAGUGCUCACUGUAUAUGAGGCUUUUCAUUAAUAAUCUAUAUUUUAUAAUAGAAUUAGAAUAUAGAUCUGUGAAGCUGAAGACACUCAAUCCUUGCUAGAUUUAAAUCAGGAAAAUCAGCUGAGAAUCAUUCCUUGAUAGAACCUGGAAAACAAGACCCUAUGAGAGACCCUGGGAAUUACAUUAAAUUCACUGUGGUUCCCAGUGUCACUGAAGAGGUUUUCCUUUCAUAGUCAGGUAGUCACCAUACUGUUAAGCAUUUGAACACAUGGGCAACUUCCAGAAUAGUUAUGACAUUGAUAUACCAAUCUCCAAAAUUCCUAGAAUACCAUGUUUUCAUGGUUGACCUUCAAAUCAGUCAGUUCUUUGUAACAUUGAGCCAUAAAGAUAGGGCAAAUACUUAAUGUUUUACAUAUAUUCAGAGAUUGACCCUCAAAAUACAGCCCAGAGAAACUCAAAAGAAUUAACUCUAUUUCUUCAAAUUGUGUGACGCCACCAAGGCCAGAUGACUUCAGCAUUGGGAAGGCAAUAUCCAGCUGUCAUCUUCUUGAUCCUCAUAUGCUACUACUAGCAUCUAGCAUUUACUGAGCAGAUAGUUUUAUUGUCCAGUUUUUAAAGAUAAGAAAAUUGAGGUAUUAGGAAAGUUAAGUUGGUUGCCUAGGGAAACACGAAGAUAUAGCCCAGAUUCACUCCCAGGCAGGCAGAUGCCAGUGUCUGCUCUCUUUACCACCGAAAUAUCCUGCUACAUGUACAAUUUCAAUAAAUAUCUGGACUUACUGGAACAAAACAAAUCAACAACAUUCUUAUUUUCUUUCUUCAGUUUAGAUUAAAUAAUUUAAAUGUCUUCUUAAGAAGCUACAGUUUUUUGAGGCACAGAGGGAUAGGAGGGUAGGUCCUACCAGUUGAGUCACUCAGCCCUAUAGUUG
rnacentral:lncRNA from 1 species